rnacentral:misc_RNA from 1 species
AACUUUUAGCAAUGGAUCUCUUGGCUCUCGCAUCGAUGAAGAACGCAGCGAAAUGCGAUACGUAAUGUGAAUUGCAGAAUUGAGUGAAUCAUCGAAUCUUUGAACGCACCUUGCGCCCCUUGGCAUUCCGAGGGGCACACCCGUUUGAGUGUCGUGAAAUCCUCAAAAUCCUUUUUGGGCUUACCGAAAAGGAUUUUUGGACUUGGAGGUUUAAUGCUUGCCUUUCACUUGUGAAAGUGAGCUCCUCUCAAAUGAAUUAGUGGGGUCUGCUUUGCCCGAUCCUUGACGUGAUAAGAUGUUUCUACGUUUUGGAUUUUGGCACUGUACUUUGGAUGCCUGCUUCUAACUGUCUCAUGGACAAUGGAUGGUGCUCUGGUCCCCUGCCUUCUAACGUUGGUGGGAGGCUGGACCCACGGAUGAAAACCUUGACCUCAAAUCGGGUGAGACUA